rnacentral:misc_RNA from 1 species
AUGAAUUUAGGGUACUCUCUUAACAAGAGGCCCGACCUUCAUCCUUCUACCCUGUGCACUAUUAUAACUUCGAUACUAACUGGUGGUCUCGGCCCUAGUGAAUUCGAAUUCAUCCUUAAACUCUACAAGUCUAAGAAUGUAACAAACCUAAAACAAAA